rnacentral:sRNA from 1 species
ACCUGGAGCUGCUUGCGCGCCUGCGCGGUGUCCCGGAGGCCCAAGUUGCCCAGACCGCUGGCUCGGGCCUGGCGCGUCUGGGACUCUCAUGGUACGCAGACCGGCCUGCAGGCACCUACAGCGGAGGGAACAAACGCAAGCUGGCGACGGCCGUGGCGCUGGUUGGGGACCCAGCCGUGGUGUUUCUGGACGAGCCGACCACAGGCAUGGACCCCAGCGCGCGGCGCUUCCUCUGGAACAGCCUUUUGGCCGUGGUGCGGGAGGGCCGUUCAGUGAUGCUCACCUCCCACAGGUGGGCCGGGCUCUGAUGCCCUGGGCUGUGGUUAAGGCGAUCCAGGCCUGGAGAGAGAGCCCCAAAGCACAAGGCCACAGGG